CGGGAACAAAAGAUGGCGAUAAUUCACAGGGAGCCGAGCGGUAGCAUAACCUGCGCUGACUUUAUGUUAUUCUGGAGGCCGAAUGGGGCUCAGGGCUGUUCCUAAACACUCUCCUGUAUCUGCGAAGCCUCUAGGAUUUCUGGGUACUACCAAACCAAGAAAGAAUGGAUGUUGUGACUUAAAACUAUAAGGGAGCUAAGGUGAGGAAAGAGAACAGAGAGACCAAGAAACUCAAGGAUCAAAUAACUUGAACCCUGAACAUCUGUGUAGACUGUGUUCCUUCGGCACAGGUUGAUAGAAGCUCUUGGAAUCCAAAGCCAUGGUUUGGGAAUCGAGCAAGAGAAGGAUGGAAAAUGACUGCUCUUCAGCUGUCAUUUACCCCUGACUAUCAUUUGUCACUGGAAAUAAGGCAAGAGUCCCCUUGAACAGGUUGGUGACAAACCUUAGAAAUCCUUAUAAGAAUGUGUAGUGC
rnacentral:lncRNA from 1 species